UUAAAUCUACUUCGUAAUACCAGCCAACGAGGUUAUUAUUUUGUGCACCGAGGAGGCUUAUGCGUCUUGUUAUUUCCAUUUUCUAUUUCCAAGGUCCGUGAUGAGUCUGGAAGUCGUUUUUACUUUCGGUUAUCUAGCUUUAUGACGGCCAUCACACUCAUACAGCUAGAUAACCAAAGACAACAACCCACUUCCCAUUCUUCUAAAAUAUUCCAGAAUUCUCUUCUGUUUUCCGGGCGUUGGGGAUUGUGCCCAUGCUUUCAGGAGUAGUCCACCAUACUUUGAGGCAAAUAAACCACAAUAUAAAAGUAGGCCUAAUUUGACUCCCAUAGCCGACAUAAUCAUAUUUUGUUUCCAUAUAGGCCACUUUCAUGUAAUGAGUCCUCCAAACUCCCACAGACACACUCGUUGUAAAAAAAAAACACGACGUCCAAAAAAGGACAUAUAAUCCCUGUGUUUAGAUUAUGUCAUAUUUAGAUGACAUUCGCCAACAUCACUGAGUUGAAGUAAGAGAGAGAACAGUAGGCUGUGGUGCAGCCAUCCUUGCACAGGCCCUGAUUUGCAAUGCAAAUGAUUCAAUCCCACAAAAGGCGCUUUCGCCUCUAUUAAGUCGUUGUGGCAAGAGCAACAUAUAUCCUGUGAGGCCAGCGAAGAAGAUACGGAGGAGGUAGGAAAUCCGCCUGGUGAAAGUGCGGAAAUUACACAGGUAAAACGUCUCGAUUGUUUUGGAUUAUGAAGAGAGGACCUCGUUUGUGGCCAAAAUGUGUCUGUCAAGUUGUCCGCACGUAUCCAGCGUGUUAGAUGAAAUAGAUGCCGAAGUCUGUAAACCAAGGCUUCGGUUCUGUUGGCUAGCCGCUGCCAACAGUCUAAAAGGAGAGGGGAAAGGGCCAUCCCCAAGGAAUGGGGGAAACGGGGAGGAGGGGUAGGCUUCCAAUGCCAAAAUCUGGACCAACCCGGUGAGGUCAAAGGCCUCAGACCACGGGAGUGUAAAUUAAUGAUGAUGAUGAUGUCAUGAAAAAUCGCAAAUGCACACUCCUAUUCAUGCACGAGCAGUGGAAAAUCUCCUCGCGUCAUUACCAAGCGCACCGGAAUAAUUCGGUUUUCCGCUAGCGGUCUGCACGCUUUUUCAAGAAUUAUAAAAAAGGACGGAAAGACAAAAUUAUUGUGCUAUGGUAUAAAAAUGGUCGUCUUGAUCAUUUUUGAAGCCAGUAAUGGUACAAUAGCCAGCAGAAUAAACCACCAAAUACAAGAGCUCAAAUCUAUGGAGGACAUAUGACAGCAUUCCAGGGCUGAGUAGAGCAUCGCCCCUGUAUUCUCGUCACAGCUAGAACCGAGUAGGGUCUUUGCUGUAGCAUGGAACUGGGCCGGGUUGUUCGAAUAUACGGGUGUGAGGGACAAUGCGAGUCGAGACACAUUCAUAGACUCAAUUUGAGUCGAAAUCCUAUUGGCUUUAUGUUUUCAUCGUCGUGACCGAUGUAUAAGCUACAAUGGUUACCAGGUAGGCUAUACUGGCAAUGUCGCAUUGUCAAAUAGGCAUUCAUUUUUCUGCACAGUCACACACAUAACAUGUUUUAUCUUGUCUAUGUAUCAAACAUUCAAUGUACAUAUUUAUCAGACCUAGUAGAACAUUAACGAUAUGUUUUCAUGCACGGACGUGUUUUUAGACUAUAGGAGCUAGGGCUGUAUGACAAUGCUAUUACCCAUAGGCAAAAAAAUAACAGAAUAAUAUAUAUAUAUACACAGGUAGGGUAGCCUACUUUAUGAUGUUUUUGCAAGAAUUCUCAGAGUUGAGGUGUGUGUGUGUGUGUGUGUGUGUGUGUGUGUGUGUGUGUGUGUGUGUGUGUGUGUGUGUGUGUGUGUGAAUUGAGAGAGAGAGGGGGCAGAAGGGAGCAGAGAGGGAGAGAGAUAUCCAAUGAUAGAUAAUCAGCAACGAGGUUCUAUAAAGGUAUUAGGCUACAAUACACUAACGUUAGGAUCCCAAUAACUAAACAAUAUGUUUCCACGUUAUAAUAAUUGAGGUUCCAAAUUUAGGGUAAAACAAUACAAUGUUGAAUGGCUUAGCAUAGGUGAUUUGCACAAAAAUGUGACGUUGUAGACCUUCAUCGGCGCUAUUAAUUUAGUGAUAUGUAUUCGUAACAAUGGCUAAUUCACUGCACAUAGUCUAGGCCCUAUAUCCUACAAUCUUUACACGUUCGCUAAAAUGUUUUGCAUUUCCAUCUACGUCGUCCAAUGCACCUGUUCACCUGUGUUAUUGCUGCUCACCAUAUAUUGUAUUGGCCCUAUAGAAACAUGUCGUUCAGGUGCUCACCAUAUUAUUGUUUAGGCCCUAUAGAAACAUGUCGUUCAGGUGCUCACCAUAUUAUUGUUUAGGCCCUAUAGAAACAUGUCGUUCAGGUGCUCACCAUAUUAUUGUUUAGGCCCUAUAGAAACAUGUCGUUCAGGUGCUCACCAUAUUAUUGUUUAGGCCCUAUAGAAACAUGUCGUUCAGGUGCUCACCAUAUUAUUGUUUAGGCCCUAUAGAAACAUGUCGUUCAGGUGCUAACAGGAGAGACCAAAUAGGUGGGAAGGCAUCCAUCCAGCUGCUCAGACAAAAAACUUCUUAAUCCUAAAUGAUAUGAAACCCAGCCCUGUGCAAUUAUUACGCACAUGGCACGCGGUUAAAAUCUGACUGCACUUUAGUUGAAUUAAAGUGUCCAUGGUUAGCUUUACAUUAGCAUUCCCUCAAAGUGACACCAGUUGAUUCAACUGACAUUUGAAGGCUAACAAAAGGACCCUUCAAGAAUGCACCAAGCAAGCAGACUCGAUCCAAUCAUGUAGAAUAUUGUAGAAUAUAGAUAGAAUAAUCGAUUUGUAAAUCAGGGUAGGUUCAGGGUAAACCCACAUUUCCUAAAUCUAUUUCUCAACAGUUUGGAACGUAUGCUACACAGGCCUCAACCACGCAUUCGUUUUAUCAAACACUCCAACAUACGGUUUUAACAGUACCAAAGUAGGCUAAUCAGGUUCUGACCUAAUGUUAUCAUUCAUACUAUUUCUCAAUUUCAACAGAAGUGUGUUUGUAAACAUAAAAGUCAAGCUUUCCCCCACCUUUUGGUGCGUCAUACAACAUACAACAUUUGUCAUGAAACAUAGACAAGCAGGCUGCAACUGUGAUCCUAUACUGUAGGUUUGUGUCAUUCUGUCACUUUAAAGAACAGUAAUGCCUGUAUUACCGAGAUUAUAUCGUUGUUAUUUUCCCUCUGAAGAAUAUAUGCCAGUCUAAAAUUGAACGUUUGACACCGUAUAACACUGUUUGACAUUGUAAUAGACUAUCGCUGUGAUAUUUUAUGAUUGUGAUAUGUAAUUAAACUAAUUCAAACCAACAAUGUUAA